rnacentral:rRNA from 1 species
GGGGGGGGGGGGGGGGGGGGGGGGGGGGGGGGGGGCGGGGGGGCGGGCGGGGGGGUUGCUCCUCGGACGUGAGCGGCGGGCGGGUGAGUGACACGUGGAUAACCUACCUAUAAGACUGGGAUAACUUCGGGAAACCGGAGCUAAUACCGGGGACUAUAUUGAACCGCAUGGUUCAAUAGUGAAAGACGGUUUUGCUGUCACCUAUAGAUGGAUCCGCGCCGCAUUAGCUAGUUGGUAAGGUAACGGCUUACCAAGGCCACGAUGCGUAGCCGACCUGAGAGGGUGAUCGGCCACACUGGAACUGAGACACGGUCCAGACUCCUACGGGAGGCAGCAGUAGGGAAUCUUCCGCAAUGGGCGAAAGCCUGACGGAGCAACGCCGCGUGAGUGAUGAAGGUCUUCGGAUCGUAAAACUCUGUUAUUAGGGAAGAACAAAUGUGGAAGUAACUAUGCACGUCUUGACGGUACCUAAUCAGAAAGCCACGGCUAACUACGUG